rnacentral:rRNA from 1 species
ACGGAAGGCAGCAGUGGGGAAUAUUGGGCAAUGGGGGAAACCCUGACCCAGCAACGCCGCGUGAAGGAAGAAGGCCUUCGGGUUGUAAACUUCUUUUACCAGGGACGAAAAAUGACGGUACCUGGAGAAAAAGCAACGGCUAACUACGUGCCAGUAGCCGCGGUAAUACGUAGGUUGCAAGCGUUGUCCGGAUUUACUGGGUGUAAAGGGCGUGUAGGCGGAGCUGCAAGUCAGAUGUGAAAUCCCGGGGCUCAACCCCGGAACUGCAGUUGAAACUGUAGCCCUUGAGUAUCGGAGAGGCAAGCGGAAUGCGUAGUGUAGCGGUGAAAUGCGUAGAUAUUAGGAGGAACACCAGUGGCGAAGGCGGCUUGCUGGACGACAACUGACGCUGAGGCGCGAAAGCGUGGGGAGCAAACAGGAUUAGAUACCCUGGUA